GGCGGGCAGGAGAUUCACCCAUUCCCACCCAAAUCACACCAACCCCAAACCCUAAAUUGACGCCACCACCUCGCCGGACCACCUCCCUAGCGCCGCCGCACCACCUUCUCAGCACUGCCGGACCACCAGGAUUUUGAAUUCUAACAGCAGCAGCAGCUGAUAGUGAUAAACAGUGGAGAUAUGGCACACAACAAUAAACAAAUGGACUUAAACUCAACAGAAGAAGCCAACAUCGAAAUGCGCAGAAGUUUUUCAUGGGAUGGAGCUUUUUUCACCAGCGAUGGUUUUCUCGACGCUGAGGAGUUGACAAGCGUGAUCGAAGGAAGUGGCGAUGAAGUAAACCACCAGUUACAAAAGAUUGAAGGGAUUGAAAGUCUGGAGGCUAAAUUGUUUGAAGAAAUUGAAGCUUCAACUCGAGCAUCUAAUCCAACUUGUCCUUGUGGGCAGUGGUGUUGGGUACCUUCAUCUUGUGGAAACUUUUUCAAUAAGAUGAGGAAAGGAAAGGUGAACACUGCCCACUGCCUCCGUUUCCCUGGCGACUGGUUCCACGUGUUUGGUAUCGGCCACCACUCAGUUGGGUUCGACAUUCGGAUCAAUGUCAAGACAUGAUUGAAAACCACUCAGGAAGUGGUUAUUGGGCCUAAUAACCGAGCUGUUACGUCACAUGAUAACUUUCUACGAGUGAACCUCGUUGGGGACUUUGUUGGAUAUGACAACAUUCUUUCCUUUGAAGACUUCUUUUUUUGUUAUUCCGAGACAGGGUGGCCAAGGUCAACCGCAAAAUUUGGGAAGGAACUUUUCUAUGUGGGUGCUACUUGAAUGACUGAGGUUCACGUUAGAUGGCCUUGAAUGUGAUAAAAUCGGUGUCAGUUAUGAAGCUUUGAAUUACUAGCCAGGUUUCUGCUCUGCACCACAAAUGAGUUGUCUGCACAAUAAAUUAGGAACUUCUAGGAUGCUGAUCAGAACAGGAUCAGAAGAAAUCAAGGUUUCAUUCGGUUGGCAGCGAUGAUGACACGGAUAUGAUGGCAGAUGUUGGCAGCGAUCAGGAAGAUCAUUCAGUUGCUGAAAACAUAGCGAAGCACAUUGAAGUUGCAGAUAAAUAUGACACCGGGGAAUACGGUGACUUCCUUUCAUCCAAGGUUUCAUUUAAUUGUUUGUUUUAUGCCUGACUUAAACAAAAAUUCGAACUAGUUAAUGUUUAUGUUCUUUUGUGUGUAUAUAUGUAUACAUCAAUGGUUUGGUAUGUAUUCGGAAAAUUGGUUAUAGCAGUAAACUGGAAAUUUUUUUUUA